rnacentral:tRNA from 1 species
GCCGACAUGGUGAAACUGGUAGACACGCCAUCUUGAGGGGGUGGUAAGCUUAGCUUGUGUGAGUUCAAAUCUCACUGUCGGCACCA